AGGUUCGAGAUGAAAUGAUGAAGCUCAUAAUGGCAAAAUCAAAAGGAAAGACAAAGAGCACGAAGAACUUCUAAAACAUACACAAAAGAAAAAUCGAGGUGGUGGAGACAGAGUCCACCUGACUGCAGCUCAACUUGGAGCCCACAUCUCUUAGAGUCAACGUUGUGUUGCAUUAUAGUUUUUAAUAUUAGUUGCACUACUACAGAAUUUGUCAAUUGAAAUUUAGCUAAUGCAUAAUAUUUUAAUGGGUUAAGUUAAUGCAGAUUGAAUAAGUGCCAAUGAAAUGCUACACAAUACCAAACAGACACUGUAUGGCAUUAAGGGGGGCUUUAGACUACUAUGGACUCAAUGAUACGAUGUUGUCCACUCUUUAGGACUAGGUUAAGUGGACUGUAUUUAGAACAUAAGUUAUUUUAUUAUUUU